rnacentral:lncRNA from 1 species
AUCACCCCUCUGUUCUGCUGUCUUAUAAAUUAAUGGUACCACACGAGCAUGUUAAAGAGAUGGAAUUAUAUUUAGCCUGGCAUACUAAAACAACAAUUCUUUCUGCUAAGUCUCAAUCAAUAUCACUGCUGUAGCAUUGCAGAAGAUGGAAAACUCAAGCUCACAAACUCCAGGAUAUUUGGGAUCUGCUCCAGCUCCUGUUAAGACAGCUCAGAAACCAGGAGACAGCAUGGAAAAGGACAGAUCAUGGAAAACACCCAAAGACCUCUUCGCAUGUGUUUGAGCUCUUGCACAGUCAACUUUUUAUUGGCUUCAAAUUGUGAUAGCAUCCCAGAAGGUUAUCAUUAGAUGAAAAAGCAAUCUUGGACUGUGAAGGUAGGAAGAUUCUCUGUUCUCUCAGGAAAGACAAAGGAUGGCUAAUGUUGGAAGAUGGUGAGAGUACUUUUUGUUCAGCUUUCUGCCGAGCCGUCCCAGCGCAGCGGUUCCCUCCUCUGAGGUUACAGCCUCCCCAAGGGUUGGAACUGCCCUCCCUCUGCAGCCUGAGAACCCAAAAUGUUGGCUGAGGACCUCCUUCCUUCUCCUCACCUCGGUAAGUGGCUACAAGUCAGUGCCGUUUAAAAUUUAAUCAGUCUCGUCAUAACAGGACACAGUUCUUGGAUUUUAACCCAUCUUCUACACAAACCACUAAAUUCAGCCACACUAACUGCCUCCUGACAGAACCUUUAUCUCAAGAACCUCUUAAUGAGCUCUCAUUAGCACAAAUUGGCCCUGAAUAUCUCACCACUUCCUAUCUCCUGCUUUCUCUGCAAUCCAUUAGCAUCUGUUAGCAGCCUCGUUUGAACAAUUAAACUAUACGGUUUCUAGAAACACACAAGAAACACCAGGUUCUACUGUUAGACCUGUGACUUUGAGAGACCUGGGAAGGGAUUCACACGGCCCAGCUUAACAGAGCCCAAAUUCUACCUGCACUUCAUUGUUCUCAGAGAA